AUUUCGCUCUCUCUGUGUGUGUGGAGAGAGAGAGAGAGAGAGAGAGAGAGAGAGAGAGAGAGAGAGAGGUGCGUUGCGGCGUCGGCUAGUUCAGGGCUUCAGGCCAUCCACCGAGACGGGCGCCGCGGUCUCGCCGGGGCGUCGAUUCUGCGAAGACCGCAACACAAUCAGGGGAAGGUACCUGCGAUAUGAAACUUGGUCAGUACUUCUCGAAUUUUAGACUGAGCCGUGAAUAAUAUUCAUAACGGAACCACACACACCCAGCAUGCGGCUUUGAACGCAGCAGUGACACCUCCAUUUGUUGGUUUUCAUUUGUACUGGUUGAGCACCUUAGUUAUAUGGGUUAGUGUGCUAGAUUCAUCAGCCUAGGAAUUUUGAGAUGGCAUGGGACAAUAUAUUUGUUAUUUAUUACUGUUGCUAUGCUAUAUUGCAUAGCUUAAUUUUGAAUUUACGCGCUGAUCAAUGAACCUGCAGUCCUAGUUACAGUAGUGACAUGGGGGCACCAACGAUGGACUGUGGAUGCGCUGCAACACUUUAAACCUGAGUAGUGACAGUGCAGUCGUGUGUGCAGUCGUGUCUGUAAUCAGUAGUUCAACAUAAAAAUGUUAAGAAUUGUAUGCCAGCAAACCCGUGGCUUCCCUGCAGCAGCUGUUUUUUCCCCUGCCAACCACCAUCCCUAAUGAAAUUGGACAAGUAUAAUUUGGCAUCUGGGUGUUCAUGUUUGCGGAUUAUCAAGGAGGUGCAUUGUGUAUAUGGGGUCAAUGGACACUGGUUUUGUAAUCUCCCCCGUGAGUUAAUAUCUCAGAAAUGCCUGCCCUGUGCAAAAGGUCUGUUUCCUUGGUGAGAACUGGCAGCUGAUGUGCCAGGAAAUGCAGUUUUGGCGGUGGGUGCAGGCAGGGUAACUCAUCUAAUGGCCUUGGACUUGACGCUGACAAAGUAUUUUAAUAGUUUAUAAAGUUAUGCUUCUGUGUCUAUAAUUGCGAUUACAGCAUCUGGCAGUGAAACCGUGGUUUUUGUGGUUUCACACUGUUUCAGUUGUUAUUUUCAUAUCUCGCGAAUGCAAUUGUGUUUCAUUUUUCAUUUUUCUUUUUGCGAGGUUGUAGGACAUGGCCACCCCUAUAUCUGGUAAGUUUUCUUUUUCUCUUUGAAACUUCACUACAUGAUUUUUAUGGAAUUUGCAAUAUUUCGAAGGGCGUAUCUUUAGUAUUACAUGUUUUUCACCUCAUGGGCCCCAGUCUGCUGUUGUCUCGUGAGCUCUUGGAUGUCUGAUGAUGAGGGCAUUGAACAAAAUUAAAAUUAAUGGAGGCAAUUGAGAUUUUUCAAACCUGGAAAGUAUAGUAAUUUUCUGACUAGUGUCAUGUGCCUCUUAUGGGUAAUUUUUCUAUAGCUGCCAGUUUUGUGUCUCUCUGCUUAUUUCACCCCAUCAAACUAAGUUCAUAUCAUCCUGUUUAGACAUUCCAUCAAUUGCUUCUCAAUUCCUAUUUUCAAUAUUUAAUAAAAUAAUCUAAAAUUUAUUCUUGAUUCCCCUUGUUUUUUUGGUUGUAAGCUGUUCAUUCUGCUGAACCUUUCUGAGAAUCAUAUAUAAACAAAAUGCUUCAUUGAACAUUCCUUAAACCUUUUUUUAAGCCCAAGUUAGUGUUUCUGUAGCAUAUAUGUUGCACCCUUGGAAAUUUUUUCUUGACAGCACAUCCUUUUGAUGACCUGGGGAGCUAAGAAUUGCAUCAGAGGCAUUUUUGUUUAUCCUAUUGACCUAUUCUUCUUUUGGGCAAGCUGGGCAGCCCAAAAACUUACGAGAUAGCGAACUUGGGUUAUUGUGACCUACAUCUCCAGGUUACAUGUUCGAUGAAUGUAAUUUUGUAUCAAAUCAAUAGGAAUUUUACUUACCCACCCCACAAUAUAUUGCAUGGGUCGACAAUCAUCUUUGUUAUCUAUGAUGACUUGCAGUGCUUUAUUCAGAUUUCCAUACUUUAAAGUUUGUGUAAGGACACUAACAUCCUUCCUAAGAUCAAAAUGAAACUGUGACAUGAGUUAUAGCCUUGCCACAAGACCGCAUUGAUGCUUGUUUGUUGUCUCCAUGUCUAAAGGUUUAAGCAAGCGUGGACGUUAGGUGCAAACGAGCUGCAUACUCGAUACAGUAGGGAUCAUUAUGUUAGAUUAGGAUAAAAAGUAUUUGGACAAUUUAGUACAAAACAGUGCUAGUUUUGAGGGCAAAUUACUGCAUGUGCCCACUGGAGCACAAUGAGCAUGCAAGGGUACUUGCGCCGCCUAUUUUAAAUAGCCUAGGGGUGGGAGGUUUAGUUAAAAUAUGUGUCAGCAGAAAAAAGCCCACUUGUAAGGUCUCCUUCUCUUUGGUAAUAAAGAGAGGAGAACCCGGCUUGUAAAAGGACGGAGAAGAAAGGAUCAAGAAAACUCAUAUGUAACCAGUUCAUAGACACUGAUAACAAAAUACACAUGACGCAGGGUUGUUAUCCUGAGGGAAGUCUGAACCUGGAUAAUUCAUGUGUUAUGAAGUUCAUCGUGAACACACGCACACCGUAAGCGUCGUUCACGUGCUCAUCGACUGUUACACCCCGGAAUCAUUGUUAUGAAUUAACUCUCAACACAAACGAAAGAAAAUUCCCCGUCCCCGCUCACGGGGAAUAUUUUCUCUCCAUCACCGUCCCCGCGUGGGGAAUGAGGACCUGUCCCCGCUAACAAUUAAAUGGAUAGGCUUGGGAUGAGUGGUUGGAUGUUGGGUGUUGGGUUGCUGGCCGAUUGGGCCCUGGGAUGAGGUGGAGUGCAAAACAUUGAAUGGACAUGCCUUACAAAGUUACACAAUACAUGUGCAUAUACAAGUAUUAUGGUCUAAACGGGUACUGCAGGGAAACGGGGAUGGGGAAUGCUUCCCCAUAUCCGUCCCUGCUAGACCCGAUCCGACCCCACAAGAUCAUUUUUCUACUAUUUGUAUCCCCGUGGGGACAAAAUUUCCCCAUCCCAAUCCCCUAAUAGGCGAAUUCCCCUUGGGGAAUUGGGGAUCAGAUCCCCAUUGACAUCUUUAGCCUCCGUGGAGAGCCCGUGGCCGAAUCGGUGGUUGUUGUCAGGGUGAAAGUGCUCUUCUCCAGCCGCGCUCAGGAUCCGACAGGUGUCGCAGAAUUGUCGUUGGAGGUACCGAUAGGGAGCACCGCAGAGGAGUGCUUCGGUAGGGUGCUUGACAAGUUCCCCAAGCUGGAGGAGAUUUGUCGCUCUAUGGUGUUCACGCUCAAGGAGUAUGUGCCCGACUACGCUGCCAUCUCCGACAGUGACGGGCUCGCCAUCAUACCACCCAUCUGCGGUGGCUGACCACAAGUGGUGAAAAGGUUUCUUCUUUCAUUCUUCGUUCUUGUUCUUGUUUCCUGAUGAAUGUGCAUGUUAAAUAAAUAAUCUCCAUAAUUCCCAAUGGCCUUUCUUUUUAACAUCUUUGGCCUUAAAUCAUGUUGAUCAAUAAUAUCUCAAUCUGAAAGGAUGACUGAAAGGAAUGCCUGCAUAGUUGGUGUACAUUGUGCCAUUCUCGCAUCACUGCUAAAGGUGAGUGAGAUGGGCUUUGCAAAUAAACCGGUAUAAUGUCCAAUGAAACCACUUGAUCACUGUGCUAAUGAUGGAACUAGAGUCCAAACGUGUCCUUAAAAAAGGGGAACUAAUUCAAAAUAUAAAUCGUUUGAAUUAUGAAUGAACCAGUGGGAAGUAGUGACUCCCUGUCCUGCCAUCUAAAAUAAAUUGUUUCCUUGCUCUUCAUUAGCACCAAUGCUGAACAUUGGAAGGUAGAGCUCCCUUUCAUCUUGCCAGAAUGACCAAAAUACUGUAGUAAUGUGAAGUAUCGAGCCCAGCGACAUUUUGUGUGGACCCUGGAAGGCGAUGAUCCUUUCCAAACCAGAAAGCAGACAUAUAAGGAUUCGGUUUGGUAUGUUGUGCUAAUUCUUGAUGGUCGUGCCUGUUGUUGAUGUUUGGAUGAAUUACUCAAGUGGCUGACAACCAAGAUGAGGAUAUAGCAAAAUGCUGAUCGUCGUCGCGGAUAGAGACAUGUGUCUCUUGUUUUUCUGUGGAAUUUAAUUUUUGGCCUUUUCCUUUUAAAUUCACAUCCAUCAUUAUCCGGAAUAAAUUCCUGCAUUAGGAGCCAGCAUAAAGUUCUGAACACACCUGAUUGCUUUCAAUGCCAUGCCGCAGUGACUUCAAUGUUCUGGAAAUUUAACAAGCCAAGACCCUUGUCCUUGCGCCAUUUUUUUACUACUCUCAUCUUUAAGGCCUAUUAUGUUGGAUACACAAUAAUUAAGCUUUAACCAUGGCAUGUCAUCUCUUCACUGUUUAUACGUGAUAUUGACAAAAGGCUUUUGAAAUUUUAAAGAAACGAAAAGAGAAACUGGACAGCAAGCAAAAGUCAUGGUUGCUGAGCCAACUGUAGUUGAUCGCAUUUUCUUUCCAUAUUAUUGAUAGAAAUAUGUAGCCUUGACUGAUAGAAGGGAAAGGAGGUGAGCCCCUUUGUGCCCAUCUGGACAAAAUGCCAGCUCUAUGAUCAGAUGUAGGUGCAACGGUGGGUUACACAUGGCCAGAUGUUAGGAGCACCAAGUCCAGCUGGUAGUGGGGGCAAUACCCACACCAGGCAAAAUUGCCACUUAAGUCCCGACAGAUGUAUUCACCAUUGGAACAUAUUAUGUUCACGCCUUGUCUUUUUAAUUAAGGAGUUCUUGAUUCUGCAAGAAAUUUGCAAGUUGAUUUAGUACUCGUGUGUGCCCAUAUUAACCUGUUUUUUUUUAUAUAUAUAUCUGCCGUUUUCACAUUAUUGUCCAGCCCCCACCCCUUCUCUUUUUCCAGCAAUGAAGUUGUUGUAUUAUUCAUGAGCUGUAUUAUUGUCGAUCACAUGUUAUCUAGUUAGUCACUGCUGUACCAGGAGAAGCAAAAUGGACAAAUGAUCAAGUUUAUGAUCGCUGGUGGCAAGGGUGAGGCAAUGCAAGUGGGUUUUGCACAGAGGUCCAACAAGGGAGGAAUUCUUCCGUUGGUGUGGGGUUAAAGUGGCUUAUCUUAACAUGCAUCCGAUCCUCUCUCGGGCCUGCGAUAACGAGAUUCAAAGGAUGAUGCUUCAUCAAUAAUGUUCCUGUUUCGUCGCUUUAUCAAUGAGAAAGCAAUGCCUCCUAUCUACUCAGGAACCAAGGCUUGCAAGAGAAAUUUCCAACAUGGAAGAGUUUCCUGUGCGGGGCUGGUAAAUAAGUUGAUUUGGUUCCGGUCUGUUUUGGGCUACACACACUGAUGUCAUAAUCGAAACGUCCCAUGAAGGCUGCAGCUACUUGAUCUGAAUCAAGUCCCUUGUUCAGACUGUGGCCCUGGCAACAAUGAAAACCUGACCUUGUGCAUCUAUUGUCGGUAAAACUUCCUUGUCGUUACUUGACAAUUUCACUCUGUCGUAAACAGUAAAAUGAUCGUGCACAUGAUGGACCAUGCUUUAUAUGGCACGAGGAUGAAAAUCAUUUGCUUGCAGAAAUGGACCAAUAUACGAUUUAAGGGUGGGCCAUGUGUGGCUGUGUAAACAUGGUCCUGAGAUUUAAUUUUGGUUUCAAGUUGUCAUUGCGAUGGCCCAUGCACUUGCCAUAGAUCAAUUGCAACCUAACAAAGAUAUGGGAUUGGGCCAGGA